ACUGGGCAAACUGGGAUUCGGGACAAUGAUGCAACGCAAGUCCUGAAAAGGACAAUUUGAUUUUCGAUAAACAUGCUCGGGUAAUUAUUGAUUCUUUUCAUGGAACGCUCUACCUAAUCUCAGAGUUUGAUGUACUGCAUUAAGCCGCCCAUCAGACAGCACCCAACCUCUCGCAACAGUAGCGGUGGUGUUGGGCAUGGAUGUACCGAGAUGUAGGGAAGGAGUGGUUUCCUCUCCACUUUGUUCCACACCUUUCAGACGCAUUGACUUGUCAGAUGAAGUUUCACUAUCUAGCUUGACUGAUUUCAACACAUAUGGUUUUCGCGAUCACGGGCCGUUGUGUGUGCCUGACUAGGUGUUUGCUGCCGUGAUCCAAUCGAUCGACUGGGGCCUCGCUGUCUCAUAGCUGGCUUCGGAACGAUCCUUGUGACAGAUAGGAAUAUAUGAUGGAGACAGGUGCAAGCACAUUCUUGGAGAUUGUGCCAGCCCAAUUUGUUGCUCUUGGCACAUCUACGAAGACGACAGUGGGCGCAUUGUGAUGGUGACCACAUACUCUUGAUGUCUUUGAAGCAUCAAGGGACAUCUGAGGGCUGAAAUCGACAUUGGUUUACGUCAAACUGUAGCACAACUACAAAGAAAGAAACUACUAUAAUACCCCAAGCAUUCACAGAAUGAAUUAUUUACGCCCACCACCAGUCUGACACGUUGUGCUCGUCUCAGACUUGUUCUCAAGAGUUCAACUCGGCUUAUUCUUAAUAGAUAUCCUCCCUGUUUAAGAGUGCCACCAAUGGACAACAUGUGGUUUAUGACAGAAUAUGCUGACUUAUGAUUCUUCCAGUAAAGAUAUUGAUCGAAAUGUCCUUACAGUUCCUAUUGUUGUCUUGAACAAAUAGACCUGCAAUGAAACAAUUAACCUAUCAUAAACGCAUUAUCACACUACAACAACGUGUCAGUCACCCCUCGACUUUACUGCCUGAAAUCAGACGGCUGCAACUUCAUUAAGGAGUCAACACAGAAGGCAAGACGGCAACUGUGGGACUUCAGGGAAGCUAUAGUCUGCUUCUAAUGAAAGGAAUUGACAUCAAAGUCAGAGGUAGCGCAUGCGUGCAGAUUAACAAUAAACACUGACGCGUGUUUAUUUGUUUAAUAAAUAACAAGAAAAGUAUUCCACCGGAAUACUUAUAUUUUGUACUCGUCUCAUACUUAUCUUAAAUCUAUUCCAAUGAAGAUGACAAAUAAUACCGGCGUGUCAGUACUCCUGGCAUCAAUGUUUCCAAACUGUGUGACUGCAUUGAACAAUAAUCAAAACAAAGAUCAAGUGGAAAACGUCACCAAACCUGGAACGGAAAAUUCGGAUAAUGGCGCAGUGAUCUAUAUAGUGGCUGUGUUGAUGUUUUAUUCAUUUGGGGUGGUUGUGAUGAUAGUUCAGUACCUCAGGACGGAGAAGAAGGAGCUGGAGGAGGAGGUUAACCUUGAAACCUUCUUCAAGGGAAUGCCAGACAAAAGACUUGAGAGAGAGCACAACGUGAACAAGGUAGCAAUACGAGCCUUCCACACAUUGACUUCAAUAUCCUACGAGGACAGUGAUGAUGAUACAUCUCCAAGGACGGUACUUGUAACUGACCUGUGACCAUAUUUGAGGACGAUUGUUGGGGUCAUGGUCACGAAACAAGUAAAACGAUAUGUUUAAUGGAGACAACGAAAGUUCAGCCGACUGACACUAAACUUUGUGACCAAACGAUGGGUGAGGCAUUAUGGACAUGUGCGUCUUUGGAAGUACUUAAGUGAUUCAGAUGUCUGUAGUGUUACAAUGUAGUACCAUUUCAUUUGAUAGAGUUGUCGGGACAUCUGUGGAGCUUGUUCAUGGAUAUUUUACUUACACUCACGUGUCUGUAUGUCAGUCAUUCUCUUUGUAAUAUGGUGAUGUCUUAUAUGUAAUGGACCUGAAAUUAACUCCAAAAGUGAUAGUGCUUUCCUUUUGUUGGUUUUGCUGACACUUAGAAGUAAAAUGUCUUUCUAGAAACAUAUAUCAUUCAUUUACAUUUAUUUUAUAAGCUAUAGUUAUGAGGUUGCCAUAGAAACUAAUCCGUCAAUUGAAGUAUAAAGACUGCUUAUUGUCUUAAUAUUGUCUUACACAUGCGAAAGUUGUCUUUUUAUUUAUCUGAGUACACUUUACUGAACUCCAACAUCAUGGUGUUCACCAAGAUGCAAAACAUUAUUUUUUUUAUGUUUGGAAUUAAAGCGACAAACGCUUUCCGUAAUCAUUAGAAAGCAUCCAGUCUGCUAAACGCGGAGUCCAUUGUGCAAAUCAUUCCAAUGUGUCUGUCUGAUGCUGGAUUUCAUUUAAUGCCUCGUUGCAAUAACACACAAAUGAAAGGAAAGUAGCAGUUUUGUUUCCACAACACAGCACAUCAUGUGUAAUCAUGUGUAAUCAUGUGUAAUCAUGUAUAUUCUCAAGCUCCUUUAGUUACAGGCGCAUGUACACUUCUUCAGAUAUACUCUUCUUUGGUGAAGAUGAGUCAUCAUGGCUGCAAUUCGCAGCAGUACCGUUCUUGUGUUGAAUAUUUCAGUCAAGUGUUUCAUCAUCUGUAACACCAGACGUAGCAUUAAAGAUUAAAGCAACUGCUACCAUUAGGACAACUGUAAUGUCAGUAUCGCUUUGCUUGUCUCUUCAUGUUAGUAGUCUCAAUGACUUGAAACAGAACACACAUUGUACAUCACUUUGAGGAAGGCGUACUCGCACCAAAGAGCGUAUACAUGGUAUAUUAUGACCUACAUGUAUGCUUGCACAACUUGAUAACCUUUGAGUUUUAAUGUGAUCACACGCAAGUUAGACAUGUUAAACCCAUUGUUGUGUUAAAAUUUCAGACGUGUAAAUCAUUGAUUUGAUUCUUCUGAGAUCACAUUUGAACUAAAGGCGUCAGCGUCGGAUUCGGAAUGUGUGAUAUAAAGGUGACCUUAUUAAAUAUAGGAUAACAA
rnacentral:lncRNA from 1 species